ensembl:lncRNA LINC00923 long intergenic non-protein coding RNA 923
UUGAGUGCGGAGGAUGGACACCUACAUUGGCAGAGGCUUGAGAGAGAUGAGGACAUAGAAAGAUGAACUUAAAGCUGAAAAGUGAACUUAAAGCUGGAAAAAAUGAAGCAAUCUCAGCUAUGAUAGCUGUAAUAGAAAAAUGGAGUUUUCCUCAGUUUUUCUUCCUCAGAAUAAAUGGGAUGAUCCUGAUGGCUGUUUAAGUGGAGAGGAUUUGUUUGGUAUGGCUGCUGGUGCUGGCCUUGGAGGAUCUGCAUUGGCUGCGGUCUGCAGUUAGGUCCAGACUGCCAGUCCCAGCGCCUUAGAGACCUCUGGAAAUCAGGCGAGGAGACCAGCCGUCUGAGAGAGCUCCACUCUCUGGCUGCCCCUGCCAGAGUGCCCAAAUAAGGAAGAGCUGUCACAUCAAGGUUUUGUCAUGUGCUAGGCACUGCACAAAGCACUUGAAUGACAUCCUUGAAACUUUUCCCAUACUGAUCAUACUGGAGGAUGUCCAGAGAAAUACAGAAAAGUGGUUUGGAGGGGAGUAGCUGAUGAUGCAGCAUUUAAUGAGAAAAGUAUGUGAAAGAGUUUGUUCAGAGGACAGCUAUCUGGCUUUUGAUGGGACUUCAAACCACAUCAGAUGUGGAGCUAAUAAAGAAAGUUAAUUAUUGAAGCACUGAGAACAUUUUACAUUCCUGGCUUGUGGUUGCGUCUUGCAAACGUGAGACUAAUGAGAGCAAGUUCUCACCCCAACUCUGAACUUGCUGACUUAUCUGAUUUAAAAUCCGAGCAUUUGAACAUUGCAAGAACUCUACAUCUUCAACAUUUUGUAGAGCAUUCCCUGCGAUGUGGAAAAUUCUGCUGGGCUAUUCCCUGAGGACACCUCUACCUUUCGUGUCCAGAAUUGGUGGGUUCUUGGUCUCACUGACUUCAAGAAUGAAGCCGCGGACCCUCGCAACAUUGGUGUGCAAGUGGCAAAAAGAGUCCUGUCCCAGCACUGCAAGGGGAAGAUAAAGGCUCGUCAUCUGUGCGUGCGUCCAUCUGAGUGGAACGUGUGUCCCGGGGGCUGCUGCCACCGCGCCGGUCCCUCCUGUAAUCCGAGCCCGUGUCAGAGGACGCGGCGCCUGCAAGGAAGAAGGGUUGCCGCAGGUGUGGCCAGAUCCUCUAGGCAAGAGGUGUGGAUUCAGGUCCUACUAGUCUUACUCCUGAUGAAGCUGGGCAAAUCAGUUGGCUCUGGAGUAAUUAGUAGCCCCUUCCUCACUGACCAUUGCAAGGAAAUACCAGUGAACUUGAGUUUCUCCAAUGAAGGUGAUCACAGUGAUGAAUGACUUGGCUUCUGCACAGCAAAAGACAUGAUCAUCAGAGCGAACAGACAACCUACAGAAUGGGAGAGCAUUUGUGCCAUCUAUCCAUCUGACAAAAGUCUAAAAUCCAAAGUUUACAAAGAACUUAAACAAAUUUACAAGAAAAAAACAAACGACCCCGUUAAAAAGUGGGCAAAGGAGAUGAACAGACACUUCUCCAAAGAAGACAUUCAUGCAGCCAACAAAGAUAUGAAAAAAGCUCGACAUUACUACUCAUUAGAGAAAUCCAAAUCAAAACCACAAUGAGAUACCACCACAUGCCAGUCAGAAUGGCAAUUAUUAAAAAGUCAAUAAACAACAGAUGCUGGUGAGAUUGUGGAGAAAAAGGAACACUUUUACACUGUUGGUGGGAAUGUAAAUUAGUUCAAACAUUGUGGAAGACAGUGUGGUGAUUCCUUAAAGAACUAGAAGCAGAAAUACCAUUUGACCCAGCAAUUCCAUUCCUGGGUAUCUACCCAAAGGAAUAUAAAUCAUUUCAUUAUAAAGAUACAUGUACGCGUAUGUUCAUUACAGCACCAAUCACAAUAGCAAAGACAUGGAAUCAAUCCAAAUGCCAAUCAAUGAUAGACUGAAUUAGAAAAAAAAAGUAGUACAUGUAUACCAUGAAUACUAUGCAGCCAUAAAAGGAAUGAGAUCAUGUUCUUUGCAGGGUCAUGGAUGGAGCUGGAAGCCGUUACUUUCAGCAAACUAACACAGGAACAGAAAGCCAAACACUGCAUGUUCUCACUUAUAAGUGAGAGCAGAAUGAUGAGAACACAUGGACACAUUAGGGGGAUCAACACACACUGGGGCCUGUUGUGGGGAUGGAGGGAGGGAGAGCAUCAGAAGAAUAGUUAAUGGAUGUUGGGCUUAAUACCUAGGUGAUGGUUUGUGAUAUGGUUAGGCUUUUUGUCCCCACCCAGAUCUUAUCUUGAAUUGUAAUCCCUGUAAUCGCCAAGUGUCUAGGGAGAUACCUGGUAGGGGGUGAUUAAAUCAUGGGGGCGGUUUCCCCCAUGCUGUGGUUGUACGGAAAAGAAAGAGAGAUCAGACUGUUACCGUGUCUAUGUAGAAAGGAAAGACAUAAGAGACUCCAUUUUGAAAAAGACUUGUACUUUAAACAAUUGCUUUGCUGACAUGUUGUUAAUUUGUAGCUUUGCCCCAACCACUUUGCCCAAACCACUUUGACCCAACCUGGAGCUCACAAAAACAUGUGUUGUAUGAAAUCAAGGUUUAAGGGAUCUAGGGCUGUGCAGGACGUGCCUUAUUAACAAAAUGUUUACAAGCAGUAUACUUGGUAAAAGUCAUUGCCAUUCUCUAGUCUCAGUAAACCAGGGGCACAAUGCACUGCGGAAAGCUGCAGGGACCUCUGCCCUUGAAAGCUGGGUCUUGUCCAAGGUUUCUCCCCAUGCGAUAGUCUGAAAUAUGGCCUCGUGGGAUGAGAAAGACCUGACCGUCCCCCAGCCCGACACCCGUAAAGGGUUUGUGCUGAGGUGGAUUAGUAAAAGAGGAAAGCCUCUUGCAGUUGAGAUAGAGGAAGGCUACUGUCUCCUGCCUGCCCCUGGGAACUGAAUGUCUCGGUAUAAAACCCGAUUGUACAUUUGUUCAAUUCUGAGAUGAGAGGAAAACCACCCUGUGGUGGGAGGCGAGACAUGUUUGCAGCAAUGCUGCCUUGUUAUUCUUUACUCCACUGAGAUGUUUGGGUGGAGAGAAACAUAAAUCUGGCUUACGUGUAUGUCCAGUCAUAGUACCUUCCCUUGAACUUAAUUAUGACGUAGAUUCUAUUGCUCACAUGUUUGUUGCUGACCUUCUCCUUAUUAUCACCCUGCUCUCCUACUACAUUCCUUUUUGCUGAAAUAAUGAAAAUAAUAAUCAAUAAAAACUGAGGGAACUCAGAGACCGGUGCCAGUGCAGGUCCUUGGUAUGCUGAGCGCCGGUCCCCUGGGCCCACU